UGUUGUGCUUUCAGAUAGAGGGGAUACAUUUGUGCAAAUCCUUUGUGAUUUCCAGUCAUUGGUCUGUGGUCAUUUGUGUGGAUCAUCUAGUCAACAGUUACUGAGGUUUCUUCUCUUUCAAAGCAAAGAUGCUGUGGACUCUGCUGUUCUUCUGUUUGAUUGGGACGUCUGCUCAGAACCAAGGAGCUAGCUGCACAACAGGAAAACUGAUAGAGGGAGGAAAAACAACUCAGUCUUCAACCUACAUCAAUCACUUCUCUGACAGAGCUGUUGAUGGGAUAUACAAUCAAUGUGCUCACACUGAAAACAAACCCAACUCCUGGUGGACAAUGGAUUUACUGGGCUUAUAUGAAAUUUCCUGUAUCAACAUCAACAACACUUCUCAUGGCAAUAUUGACCUA